AGACAACAAAAUGUUAAAUAUUAAUUUUGUCACCUUAGGUCGAUCGGUACCUCACAUUCUUAAAUUUAUUAAGGAUUUUAUUUCCUAAGUUUUUUCUAGGUCACACCCAUUUUUUUCCUGGGCCAUUAGCUCAGGUGGUUAGAGCGCACCCCUGAUAAGGGUGAGGUCCCUGGUUCAAGUCCAGGAUGGCCCAUAUCUCUAUGUUGGGGGUAUAGCUCAGUUGGUAGAGCGCCUGCUUUGCAAGCAGGAUGUCAGCGGUUCGAGUCCGCUUACCUCCACUGAUUACCACCUCUUCCAUAAUUUGUAGAAGGAAAAUUUUUGAGUUGUGAUCAAUUUCUGAGUGAUUCUAGCUUCCUAAUCAAACUGAUUAAGAUGCUGGACUCAUUGAAUUAAUUUCAUUGUUUUCAGAGAACCUUGACAACUGCAUAGAUUAUUUUUAAUGACAAUAAGCAUCUUUAAUGAUGCAGAUUUAUUAUUUGUGCAAACGCAUUAAUAACAAUUCUAUUAAGCUGAUGCUUCAAUUUUGAAGUUAUU
rnacentral:tRNA from 1 species